UACGGAGGGUGCGAGCGUUGUCCGGAAUCACUGGGCGUAAAGGGCUCGUAGGCGGCUGGUGAAGUCGGCUGUGAAAGCCCGGAGCUCAACUCCGGGUCGGCCGUCGAGACUCCUCGGCUCGAGCUCACUAGAGGCAGAUGGAAUUCCGGGUGUAGCGGUGGAAUGCGUAGAGAUCCGGAAGAACACCGGUGGCGAAGGCGGUCUGCUGGGGUGAGGCUGACGCUGAUGCGCGAAAGCGUGGGGAGCAAACAGG
rnacentral:rRNA from 1 species